AUCGCUUCUCGGCUUCUAUAAGCUAAGAUCAAAGUGUAGUAUCUGUUCUUAUCAGCUUAAUAUCUGAUACGAUUCUCAUUGAGAAUCCAGUAUAUUAAUCUGAUUUUUGGAAUUCGGUCGAGUCCCGGAGCUUGCUCCGGUUUGACCACGAGUUGCCCUGGCAUUGCAGUGCCGUCGGGUGCAGCUCCCACAGA